rnacentral:rRNA from 1 species
GUCUUAUUGAAUUUAAAAUAAUAAGUUUGUUCUGCCCAUUGAAUUAAAUAUUUUAAAAGGCUGCAGUAAUUUAACUGUACAAAGGUAGCAUAAUCAAUAGUUUUUUAAUUGAAAACUUGAAUGAAAGAAUUGAUAAAAUAUUAGUUGUCUCAAAUUUAAAUAAUUGAAUUUAUAUUUAAAGUUAAAAUUCUUUAAUUAAUUUAUUAGACGAUAAGACCCUAAGAAUUUUAUAAUUUAUUUAUUAUUUAUUAAAUUAGUUUAAUUUAAAAUUUAUAAUUUAAUUAUUUUAUUGGGAGGGUAAUUAAAAAUUUAAACUUUAAUUAAAUUUAAACUUUGAUAAAUGAGUUUAAUGAUUAUUAUUAUAGUUAUUAGAAUAAAUUACCUUAGGGAUAACAGCGUAAUAAUUUUGGAAAGUUCAUAUUGAUAAAAUUGGUUGCGACCUCGAUGUUGAAUUAAAAUAAAAAUUAAAUGGAGAAGUUUAAGGUUUUAGUCUGUUCGACUAUUAAAAUUUUACA